UAAGAAUCUUCCGCAAUGGGCGAAAGCCUGACGGAGCGACGCCGCGUGGACGAUGAAGGCCGUGAGGUGGUAAAGUCCUAAUCGGGGGGGGGAAUGAGGUCCGCAGGGAAUGGCGGGCCGAUGACGUGAACCCCGGAAUAAGCCCCGGCUAACUACGUGCCAGCAGCCGCGGUAACACGUAGGGGGCGAGCGUUGUUCGGAAUCAUUGGGCGUAAAGGGCGCGCAGGCGGCGAGGCAAGUCCGGUGUGAAAGUGCUCGGCUCAACCGAGUGAUGCGCUGGAAACUGCCCUGCUUGAGUACAGGAGGGGGCGUCGGAAUUCCAGGUGUAGGGGUGAAAUCUGUAGAUAUUAGGAGGAACACCGGUGGCGAAGGCGGCUUGCUGGACAAAUACUGACGCUGAGGUGCGAAAGCGUGGGGAGCAAACA
rnacentral:rRNA from 1 species